rfam:Bacteroidia bacterium 44-10 SCNpilot_bf_inoc_scaffold_549, whole genome shotgun sequence.
GGAAAGAUGCCGGAGUGGUCGAUCGGGGCGGUCUCGAAAACCGUUGUACUCUCACGGGUACCAAGGGUUCGAAUCCCUCUCUCUCCG